AGAGACGUUGCCCUUCGGGGUAUACCUCCCACCCUUUGUUUAUUAUACCUUUGUUGCUUUGGCGGGCCCGUCCUCGGACCACCGGCCUUCUGCUGGUCAGUGCCCGCCAGAGGACCUAAAACUCUGUUUGUUAAUAUUGUCUGAGUACUAUAUAAUAGUU
rnacentral:misc_RNA from 1 species